rnacentral:lncRNA from 1 species
CUUCUUUCCUAUUCCAAGUACUCCCUACCCCCACUUGUGUAUUCAAGCAGUCCUUCUGACUGGUGUCAGCUAUCAAUUAUUUCUAUAUCCAAAUGUCCUUUCUGGAAUGCCUUUAUGUGAGAUAGGUUCGCACAUGCUUGUGUGUGAUGACCUUAUUUUAGCUAGUAUUUGCCUUCCGAAUUCUUUUAGAAUAUUUUUAUUUACGGAACAUCUAGGAGAUAUGGUCAGUACAGAAUUUAGAAAAAGAGUCAAAACAGAAAGAAUGGCACUAGAAAUUACCUGUGUAGAACAACCUGAAGCCCUGAAAAAAAAAAAGAUAAAAUACUAAUAAUAAUGCAAUGAAGGAAUCAAAAGUAGAAAGUAGGGGCAGAGGUCAUGGCUUUGAGUAUAUCACAAAAAUUACUGCAGAAAUUGCAUCACAGGGCUGAGUUACAGAGUGGAAAAGAAAGCAGAGAAUGCUCAGACCACUGCCCUAGUAUCUAGGGCUUGGGACACAAACUUUGCCUGAAUGAAAGCAGCAAGGUGGAGAGUGAAGAAAACCCUAGGAGAAUUCUGCCACAGGAUGUGGGUUAGCCACGCAGGAGGUUGCCAAUGAGGAAAUUGUAAAAGAACAUCAAGCGGGGAAAAGAUCUAGUACAAACCGAACAGGAAUGCUUUGCUUUUGAUCCCCAGAACCUCAGGGGCUUAAGAACUAACACAAAGUUUUAAAGGGAAGUAAAACUGAGUUAUCAAAGAAUCUGAACUGUGACAUUAGACUCUAGAAACUAAGGGGCUGCUUCACAAUUUCACUUCCCUAAUUUAAGGCCAGAUGAAACCAUGCUGGGGUUGUCUGAUAACAUAUGAUGUGCAUGUGUGAAACCACUGUGGAUACAUGGGUUAAAAUAUUGCAGUGGGAGAGCUGAGUGUAGCUCAGUGAUAAAGUACUUGCCUAGCAUGAGUGUGGGCCUGGAUUUUAAGUCCAGCACUGCAAAAAGAAAAAAAAAAGUUUUAGUGAGAGCAAUUUCACAAUUGAGCAUAAGUGUUCUUUAUUUUCCUUGAGAUUUGGUGGUUUUUGAUUUUGUUUAACGAGUUGAGGCCCCACUGACAGAUGUAAGCUUUGAUCAAAAGAACUGUAUUGUGGAAUCUAUGAGGAGUUCCUUGUUUGUAUCUAACUCAAAUCAAAGGGUUCAAGAUUAACUGCUAACUUCCAGUAAGCUUCUAACCUUCUAGAUAUGACAUCGUUGCUCAAGAGUCACAAAUACACACAACAAAGCCACUACACAACAUCUGACUUCCUUAAGCAGAACCUUGCAAAUCCAAAGUUGUGAAAAGACAAGAGAACAUACAAUUUUGAUGAUCGCGUGAUUGGAACUGUAUGCACCACAACUUUCAAAUUACCAUUAUCGGUGUCCCAACGUUGAACAUAGGAACAUAUAAGCUCUUUUCAAAAAUAAACAAAC